rnacentral:rRNA from 1 species
GAUGAACGCUGGCGGCGUGCCUAAUACAUGCAAGUCGAGCGAACAGACGAGGAGCUUGCUCCUCUGACGUUAGCGGCGGACGGGUGAGUAACACGUGGAUAACCUACCUAUAAGACUGGGAUAACUUCGGGAAACCGGAGCUAAUACCGGAUAAUAUAAUGAACCGCAUGGUUCAAUAGUGAAAGACGGUUUUGCUGUCACUUAUAGAUGGAUCCGCGCCGCAUUAGCUAGUUGGUAAGGUAACGGCUUACCAAGGCAACGAUGCGUAGCCGACCUGAGAGGGUGAUCGGCCACACUGGAACUGAGACACGGUCCAGACUCCUACGGGAGGCAGCAGUAGGGAAUCUUCCGCAAUGGGCGAAAGCCUGACGGAGCAACGCCGCGUGAGUGAUGAAGGUCUUCGGAUCGUAAAACUCUGUUAUUAGGAAAGAACAAAUGUGUAAGUAACUAUGCACGUCUUGACGGUACCUAAUCAGAAAGCCACGGCUAACUACGUG